GACGAACGCUGGCGGCGUGCUUAACACAUGCAAGUCGAACGCUGAAGCUCAGCUUUUGUUGGGUGGAUGAGUGGCGAACGGGUGAGUAACACGUGAGUAACCUGCCCCCUUCUUUGGGAUAACGCCCGGAAACGGGUGCUAAUACUGGAUAUUCACUGGUCUUCGCAUGGGGGUUGGUGGAAAGGGUUUUUCUGGUGGGGGAUGGGCUCGCGGCCUAUCAGCUUGUUGGUGGGGUGAUGGCCUACCAAGGCUUUGACGGGUAGCCGGCCUGAGAGGGUGACCGGUCACAUUGGGACUGAGAUACGGCCCAGACUCCUACGGGAGGCAGCAGUGGGGAAUAUUGCACAAUGGGCGCAAGCCUGAUGCAGCGAUGCCGCGUGAGGGAUGGAGGCCUUCGGGUUGUGAACCUCUUUCGCUCAUGGUCAAGCCGCAACAAUGGUUGUGGUGAGGGUAGUGGGUAAAGAAGCGCCGGCUAACUACGUG
rnacentral:rRNA from 1 species